AAUAUUGCGCAAUGGAGGAAACUCUGACGCAGCGACGCGGCGUGAGCGAUGAAGGUCUUCGGUUCGUAAAGCUCUGUCCUCAGGGAAGAAGUAAGUGACGGUAUCUGAGGAGGUAGCCCCGGCGAACUACGUGCCGGCAGCCGCGGUAAUACGUAGGGGGCAAGCGUUGUCCGGAAUUAUUGGGCGUAAAGGGUGCGUAGGCGGCUUUUUAAGUCAGAUGUGAAAGACCACAGCUUAACUGUGGGGUUGCAUUUGCAACUGGAGAGCUUGAGUAUCGGAGAGGGUAGUGGAAUUCCUGGAGUAGCGGUGAAAUGCGUAGAUAUCAGGAGGAACACCAGUGGCGAAGGCGACUACCUGGACGAAAUCUGACGCUGAGGCACGAAAGCUAGGGGAGCAAAA
rnacentral:rRNA from 1 species